rnacentral:lncRNA from 1 species
AAAGCUAAGCAGAGAAAGUCCCAGACUUGUGAUCUACAGUUUCAGUCUAAAUCAAUUUUAUUGGUCUGACAAGAUAUGUGACUGUUGCCAAAGGGAAAUGUGGUAAUUAUGGGGCCUGUGUUAUGUGGGGGGAGGAGGGAGGGAAUUAAGUGGUCAGGGAGUUGUGAGCCCUGCUGAGGAUCUGGGGAUGAGAAAGGAGACCAGAAAAGGCUUCGAGGGGCAAGUCUACAUUUAAAACGCUGCAUCAGUGCAGCUGCCCCUCUGUAGCACUUUAAAGAAGAUGCUGUAAACCAACGGGAGGGAGUUCUCCCAUUGGUGUAGAUAAUACACCUCCCUGAGAGGAGUAGCUGUGUGAGGAGAAGCUCUCCCGUCAACAUAGCGCUGUCUACACAGGGGGUUAGGUCCUAUAACUAUGUCACUCAGAAAUGGAUUUUUCACACCCCUGAGCGACGUACUUAUACCGAUAUCGGUCUGUAGUGGAGACCUGCCCUAGGAAUCAGACUUUUAGGAUUAAUCUAAGCAAAUCUCAGAAACUGCUGGGCUUGUGCCGCUCUCCUGCCUGGUGUUCUAUCUCACGAAUCUGGGUCUGCACCAGCCAGUGUGAAUCACAGGAAGCAGUCCAGUCCAGUGCCCUUAUCUGCCCACUGGCCAGUGCCUACGGAAGGGAGCCUCUGGUCCAGGGCACAAUGACUCACACUCCCCAUCUGGUCGGCAUAGAGGGUGGGACGGAAACCGGCACUGAAAUGAAACAAGAAAAGGGAAAUGUGAGGGAGUAGGGCUGUUUUCUCUUUUCUUGCUGCAGUCUCCUAUUUGGGGCUGAUGUUAAUGACCAAGCAGAAAUCAUUGCUAAGGAUACCGGGGAACAAUCCACUACAUUCACUCAGCCCUCAGUCAGCCUUCAGUUUGGGUCUGCACGUGGCAGCUCCCAACUUCCCACCUGGGGAGAACAUUCUGGGGUGUGCAAUGAAACAAAUCACUGCUCAGAAAGGAAGCUCUGGCACCAGCCAUCUCCUGGGACAUGAGGUGAGGACUUACAGGUAACAAGGCCAGGAGGGCUUGAAGCCUAGUUGUUACACGAGUCA